UGGUGCUUGGUUUUCGUCAGCUUCGUGUCGUGAGAUGUUGGGUUAAGUCCCCGCAACGAGCGCAACCCUUAUCUUUAGUUACUACGCAAGAGGACUCUAGAGAGACUGCCGUUGACAAAACGGAGGAAGGUGGGGAUGACGUCAAAUCAUCAUGCCCUUUAUGACCUGGGCCACACACGUACUACAAUGGCAAUUAACAAAGAGAAGCGAAACCGCGAGGUGGAGCGAACCUCAUAAAAAUUGUCUCAGUUCGGAUCGCAGGCUGCAACCCGCCUGCGUGAAGCCGGAAUUGCUAGUAAUCGCGGAUCAGCAUGCCGCGGUGAAUACGUUCCCGGGCCUUGUACACACCGCCCGU
rnacentral:rRNA from 1 species